rnacentral:tRNA from 1 species
GAGGGUAGAGCUCAGCGGUAGAGCGGGCGCUUAGCGUGCAGGAGGCCCUGGGUUCCAUCCCCGGUACCUCCA